rnacentral:rRNA from 1 species
CAGUCGCCGCGGUAAUACGUAGGGUGCAAGCGUUAAUCGGAAUUACUGGGCGUAAAGCGUGCGCAGGCGGUUAGAUAAGCCAGAUGUGAAAUCCCCGAGCUCAACUUGGGAACUGCGUUUGGAACUGUUUAACUAGAGUGCGUCAGAGGGGGGUGGAAUUCCGCGUGUAGCAGUGAAAUGCGUAGAGAUGCGGAGGAACACCGAUGGCGAAGGCAGCCCCCUGGGAUGACACUGACGCUCAUGCACGAAAGCGUGGGGAGCAGACAGGAUUAGAUACCCCCGUAGUCCCUGUCUCUUAUAC